UCCAUUGUUAAGCCAACAUAAAUUUCGACCAAAUAAAGUGGCGAUUGAAUGUGUCGAAAGAAAGGCAAACAACUGAAAUAAAAAAACGAGCAAAAAACAACACGUACAAAAUAAAACGCAGUGGGAAACAUAGAGAGUAAGAGUACACGAAUUUGUUUUCAAAGCAUGCAAUCACAGCAACGGAUAGCAUAAAAAACGGAAAAUACAGUGAUUUUCAACUCAAAAUCCAAAACGAAACUAAAUUACCAAGUGCGACAUUGUGAAACAUUUAUAGUGUGUGAACAAGAAAAUGUGAAAAGUUGCAUUGAAAAUCAAUUAAAAGCAUUCGUCGCAUGCACUGAUUGUAUCUUUUUGCACCCCAUGUGUCAUUUUAAUCCGUUGUGUGGAUUGGUCUUUCUCAGUGUGGCAAAAAUUUAAAAACAAAACAAACCGGACACACGCACAUACAUACAUAUAUUUGGGGAACACGAGGAAAAAGUAACGCAUGCAAAAAAAUACGCAAACUGAAAUGAAACCCAAGCUCCAAACGAAAUACACGCACAUGCAAUGAAAAGCCAAAUUGAUGAGCGUGAUAAAAUAACAGCACAAAUGUGUUUGUGAGCUUUGCAGAUAGAAUUACCCCCAAAAAGAGGAACGAAAAAAAAGAAGUGAGAGGAACCCAUGUGGAAAGAAGCAGAAGUUGCAAAUGAUAUUGUAGUUUAUGUAUGACACGAACAAAUGGGAAUUUAUGCGGUUUUUAUGUGUUUGUUGAGAGAGUUGAAUUGAAAAGAAAGCAAGGUCAAACAACACAAAAGUGGCGCACACCGUCAACGUAAGUGUUUUAUAUUUGAUUAGUCGAACUAAAGGGGAAUCGAAAAAAAGCAAACGGAAACACCAACAGAAAUCAUCAUCAAGCCAGGUAAUAAAGAGAAAAAAAUUUUACUUGAAUCGAAUACGAGGCAGUGCAGUGGAAAAAAUGCCAAAUUCAGACAACGGUCAAUGCAAGUGAAAAUAUAAAUGGAAAAUUAAAAUAAAUUCAAACAAUAACAAUAAACUAAAUGAGUAAAACGCGAAUUUGAACGAUAUUUUACAUGAAAAUUAGAAGAAAUUACGAACUGAAUAUAAAACAUUCAACUCCGAAAAAAACGCAUACGGCUUUACGGGUGAACCAUACAAUGCUUUGUGUUGUGUAAGGUGGAUGAAACGAAACGGUACGUUCAUUGACACGACCGAUUCAUCCUCAUCAGUGUGCGCGCGUUCAAUAUACAUUGUACAAACAAAAGCGGUCAGUUACAUUUCUACCGAGCAAGUAAUGAGAGUGCAUGCACUUUGGCCAAAUAGCAAGAGUAACAAAAUACGACACCGAGUAGUAAAGACAACGCUGUACGAUAGCACAAAACGAAAAUAAGAUUCUCCGUUGUUUUUGCUGAUAUAAAUACCAAAAUUCAUAACAAGAGCAAUUUUGAAAGACGGUGCAAACGAACGCAAGAGAUGAUCGAAACAAGGCAAGCCGUAGCAUAGGAGCAAAACGUCGACAACGAAAAAAAAAGUACAGUGCAGAACAGCACCAAAGCGUUUGCUCGUGUUUUCUGACGCAAGUGAGAAAAUCAUCAAGUUGCUCUUUUUUCUCUUCUAAUCAACACCGCCGCAUCCAAACACAAUCACACUCGAACUCACGAACCCUUCCCCGGUGCUUCUUUUCAUUCGGGUGCUUUGCCCGAAAUAAAUAAUAAACGUGUGAUUUCUGUACGUUUGAUUUCUUGUGCAAAUCGUGUGUUACACUACUCCUCACGUAUGCACUACAACAACAUCUACGAUCUGCUGCCAUAUAAAAUAUUAAAGAUAAACGAAACGGUGAAAAAUUGCAUAAUCAAGGACCGAACGUUUGGUGAAAUGCUUAAGACUUCAACCAACUGAUAAUUCCAUUUUGAAACACUGUGUAAAUAAAUCGUAAUUUUCUAUUAUUUUUGCACACAGCAUGCAUAAUGAAUUCGAAGCUGUCAAGUUUUUGAUUGGACACCACCGCAGAGCAGUGAAUGAGCACAUGAAAUGCGGUUGGAGAACAGAGCAACGCUAAUGCGCUGCACAAAGUGAACAAAAGUGGCCAAGUAGUACUUGUAAGCUGUGGAAAUAAAAGGCAAAACAUGCAUGUGAGCGUAUCUAUCUGUGUUUGUGAAUAAAAAAUUUCGCAUUUUCAACAUUCGACCGAUUAAGAGACAGGAUUAAUUCAGCCAGAUUGUGUGCAUUGUACAAAACGGAUUGUUGGGACUUCCAUUUGGAUCGAUAAAUCGUGUCACUUGGUCUGUCAUUUUGUGGUCUUGAAUGAACAUUGACCGCUGUCAAUGAGUGUUUAUAAAUUAAUGAUAUUGGGACUAGGUUAAAAUACCAGUGGUCGAUUCCCAAAUGUCUGUAUAAGAUGAACGCCACGAGACUAAAGAAUAAAUUUGCUGUGUAAAUCCUUUGUCUUGUCAAAGUGUAUGCCAAAAACGACAACGACAACAUCAUCUGACUUGAGCAGAUUUAAUCAAAAUAGACAAAUCCCAUAGCUGGCGACAAUAUCAAACCGAACGAUCAAAAUCCAGUACAUUUCAUUCGGAAAAAUUCACCAAAAUCCAAAUAAAACGCUUUCAAGCGCCAGAAGGAAUUGGGACAAUAAAAACGUCAAACAAAGCCCACAAAUCUAAAUCACUCGCUCUCGCUCUCUCACUCGCUAUUUUUUACCAAGUUCUUGUGCAAUAUCAACAGGCCAAUUUAAGCAAGGCAGCUUAAAGCGCGCACAACCCAAGAACAACAACAAAAAUACAUCACAUUUAAAUUAUUAAUCAUUCGAGAUCAACCGGAUCAAAUAUUAUGCUCAAAUAUUCGAAUAAAAAACUGUUAGGCUAUGUUUGUGAUGCUGUCAGUCCGUACUACUUCCGUUUGUGAACGGCACAAUAAAGUGACAACAACAACAACAACAACAACAACAACUGCCAACACCACCACAACGACAGCAACGACAACGACGACGACGAGCAAAACGACCAACACACAAAACACGCAGACGACUCAAAGUCAGCUAGAUUCGGCCGUAACAUCAUCGUUGACCACUACAUUCGACAAUAUACUGAUCAAUAAAAACAGCAUCGAAAAAAUUUUCACUAAAUCCGUAUCGUUCGAUAAGAAUAUCAAUCAGUCGAAUUUAUCGCUAACCCAGCCGAACAAUUUGAAAGAACCACCAGCACAACAGGCAUCAGUUGCAACGAUAUUAAACGAUUUGAGUCCAGCACCGUCAAAAUUCCCAAACCAAAAAAGCUUUAUUUCAACUAGCCAUAUGACCCACAAGGGAUUUCAAGAAAAUACGCCGGCAAUGCGGUACUAUAGGCUUUGGAUUUACACAUGCAACGCUGUGCUAUUAAUGGCAGUCAUAAUAUUUUGUUGUGUUGCCGGCAAAGUCUUAUUAGCCGAUUACCGACGACUGUUAAUACAUGGACUGAAUUUGGGUCAACCGAGCUUUGUGUAUGCGUAUUUGGCAUUGCUCAUACAAUCGGGGUUCUUGCAAUUAGUCGGAUGCUUAGGUGCCUUACGUCUAUCGGAAAAAUUGCUGAACGCUUAUUGGUUGCUGCUUCUGGUAUUGUUGAUUGGGGACGCGGUGCUUGGGAUAUUCUGGAUGUUUAAAUUUGACCGAAUCAUGCACGAACUUCAACCAAUGCUUAGAUAUCGUUUAGCAACCGAAUAUGGAACGUCCGUAGAUUUUAGUGAGUUAUGGGAUCGUCUGCAGAAUGAAAAUCGUUGCUGUGGUGUAUUUGGUCCGCAGGAUUUUAGUGCGACUGCAAAUCGUUCAUAUCCAACAUCGUGCUGUUCGCCAGAUAUCAGCGAUCAAAUAUCGAUUUCGAGGCGACCAAUGGCAUCGGCCGUCGUAUUUCGUGACGAAUCAGCAGCUAGUGCACUUGCAUCACAGGCCAAAGCCAAUUUAACCGAAUUAACCGAUUUAACAUGGAGCCAUUUAGUUAACGAUAAUAAAGACGAAAUCAAAACGGCCGCAGUGUGCCAUGCCAUCUAUCAACAAGGAUGUUUCGAUAAGCUGGUCGCAUGGUUACGAAACACCGCCGAUAUUCUGUUUGUGCUUGGCUAUUGUGUAAUCGCCUUUCUGAAAUUGUCAUUUCUCGGCAUCUUGCGAUACGAAAUUAAAGAGAUGAUCCAGAAAAUCAAGUUGCUGCAACAAGAAAUGACGUGCGAAAUGAUGAGCGGUGACGGCGAAGCGAUGCAGCAACAGCAAACGGGCUGUGUUUUGCUGCAAAUUCCCAGUACAACAGUAAACGGUGGCAUACACACCGAACGAAAAGUUGGCAAUCGAGAACGAGACCGAGAACGAAAUCGCUUCGGAUCAAUGGGCGAAAGCGAACAAGAAUCACUAUUAGUUCAUGAAAAUACACCGAAAUUCACUCGAAAUAAUCAAUUGAACUUGUGCAGUGAACAAGAUGAAGGCGAAAUUAUUACUGGAGCAACGGGAACGCAUUCGGGUCGUCCAUUACAUGGUAACAACUAUGAACUAUCUGAAUUUGAUGCGACACGAGGACCCACAUACAGAAAGUCUAAAUGGCCAUCCUUAUGAGAAAUACAGGCUUACAUAGCUAGAGCACACAGCGAGUCCGAGCAUAUCCUAUUUACAUCAGCACGCAGGCGGCAACCAAAAUCUGACUACGGUAUUACCUGGAACAGUUAUUCGGUGGGCGUUGGCGUAAAUACGGACGCUAUUCUCGUCGGCGAAAGAAAUAUCCGAGCACCGAAUACAACGAGCCAAAUGUAAGAUUCUACCAGGCGACUGCUACAACGGACUACAGCGAAUGCGACUGCACCGAUAUCUAAUCUCUCUCUAACUAUCCCGAUCUCUCGACAAAGCGAUGAAAAAUUCAAACGCGACAAACAAAAAGUUCAACUCGCAUCCAAAUGUAAUUCUAAAGUCAAAUAGUUUUUUGUUCGCACCGCCUCAAUCAAAAUGAAUGUGACAGUAUUCAAAAGCCGUCAGACAUGAACUAUACAUAAAAUCAACGUUGGGGGAAAAUGUAAAUACCCUCAAAAAGUUGCUGAACAGACAAUGGAAACUGGAAAAUAGGAAGCGAACCUAUGACAACAACUGCACACGUAUACACAAUGAACACUCGACUUAAUUCUCGUAGAUUAAUUGAAUGAAGAAAAGUUGCACGCAUUGGCAACUGCGAGUACGAGACUGAAUUGCAAACAUAAACCGGGUCAUCUCACGAUUCGUUUCGGCACAAAUGUGAAAAAGUUGUGAACCGAAAUUCGUUUGAAGCAACAACAAAAAAAAAACAGGCAAAUCUAAAAUAUCAGAAAUUCGAAUAAGUUACGUGUUAUAAUGACAGGAUUAUCCAAGUGCAGAACAAAUAUUUGCAUACAUGAUCCAUAAAUUUUUAUGAUUUUAUAUUUGAAAUCAGAAAGUCUUAGAAUAAAGCAUAAACAAUUAAUCGAUUCGCUUGUAAACUAAUGAAAUUGAACAUGAAGAUCACCGAUAAGAUAUUAUGUGGAAUAAUUAUGAUAUUCUGAAAUGAGGAAAGGGAAAAAGAAACGGAAAAAGAAAAGCAAAUGUUAAGAAUUGAGAUAGGGCAACCAUGAAAAUACAGGCAAGGCAUACGAAUGAUCUAAUAUAUGCACAGUAAACACGAUGGUUCUAACUUUUAGAACCACAAUAUGAAAUUUGGCACUAAAAUCCAUUUAAGUACCAUUUAUACUGAAAAAAGUUCAAAAUGUACUAAAUCAAAAAUCAAAGCCUCAUGUAUUUAUUAUAGA